rnacentral:lncRNA from 1 species
AUUUGAAUGGGUAGACUGAGUAGAGAAGAUCAUACAGUCCAUUGAGGUCAGGCAUCAUCCCAGUGUGGGCAGGACCUUACCAAUGUGUGCAGGUAUCAUUCAACCCAGGGAGGGCCUGGAUAGAACAGAAAGGAAGAGGAAGGGCACAUUCUCUCUCUCUUCCUGAGCUGGGACAUCCAUCUUCUCCUGCUGUCAGAUAUCAGCAGCACUCUUGGUUCUCAGGCCUUUGGACUCAGAUUGAAUUUCACGACUGACUUUUCUGGUUCUCCAGCUUUCAGAUGGCAGACGGUGGAACUUCCUGGCCUCCACAACCAUUAUACAUUCAAAUCUAGAUGAAUUCAGUAUGAAGGACAGUGGAAAAGGAGACAGUGAAUUGAAUGACAGCCAUUUGGAUAUCAGCAGAGAGGGUUUCAAGAAAACAUCCUUUCAAAUGAUUGCAAAACAAGGGG